GAUGAAGAACGUAGCGAAAUGCGAUAAGUAGUGUGAAUUGCAGAAUUCAGUGAAUCAUCGAAUCUUUGAACGCACAUUGCGCCCCUUGGUAUUCCAUGGGGCAUGCCUGUUCGAGCGUCAUUUGUACCUUCAAGCUUUGCUUGGUGUUGGGUGUUUGUCCCGAGGGACUCGCCUUAAAGUAAUUGGCAGCCAGUGUUUGGUUUUGAAGCGCAGCACAAGUCGCGAUUCAAGGCUACACGCCCGCUUCCACAAGCCUUUUUUCACUUUUGACCUCGGAUCAGGUAGGGAUACCCGCUGAACUUAAGCAUAUCAAUAAGCGGA
rnacentral:misc_RNA from 1 species